CCCCUCUCAGGGUCGCACCUGGAGAGUUUCCAGUACUCUACCAGUCACGACUACAGGAGAGGGGAGUCAAGCAGAGGCCUGUCCAUUCCAUUCCUAGCUUGGGCAGUGAGUGGCUAGUGAGUGGAAGGCAAUCUGCCACAAGU